GAUGAAGAACGCAGUGAAAUGCGAUAAGUAAUGUGAAUUGCAGAAUUCAGUGAAUCAUCGAAUCUUUGAACGCACAUUGCGCCCGCCGGCACUCCGGCGGGCAUGCCUGUCCGAGCGUCAUUUCAACCCUCAGGACCCCCUUUCGGGGGGGACCUGGUGCUGGGGAUCAGCGGCCUCCGGGCCCCUGUCCCCCAAAUUGAGUGGCGGUCGCGCCGCAGCCUCCCCGCGUAGUAGCAACACGUCGCGGCGGAGAGGGCGGCGCGUCCACGCCGUGAAACACCCCCACAAUCAGGUUGACCUCGAAUCAGGUAGGAAUACCCGCUGAACUUAAGCAUAUCAAUAAGCGGAGGA
rnacentral:misc_RNA from 1 species